UCUAGAGGCUUCGGCAAUGGGGGAAACCCUGACCGAGCGACGCCGCGUGUGGGAUGAAGCCCUUCGGGGUGUAAACCGCUGUCAGGAGGGAAGAAUGCCGGAAAGGUAAUUUUCGGAGAGACGGUACCUCCAGAGGAAGCCACGGCUAACUCCGUGCCAGCAGCCGCGGUAAGACGGAGGUGGCAAGCGUUAUUCGGAUUCAUUGGGCGUAAAGGGCGUGUAGGCGGUUUGGUAAGUCUGAUGUGAAAUCUUCAUCGCUCAACGAGGAGACUGCAUCGGAUACUGCCAAUCUUGAGUGCAAGAAAGGUGAGUGGAAUUCCAGGUGUAGCGGUGGAAUGCGUAGAUAUCUGGAGGAACACCGGUGGCGAAAGCGGCUCACUGGCUUGUAACUGACGCUGAGGCGCGAAAGCGUGGGGAUCAAACA
rnacentral:rRNA from 1 species